UACGAGGGGGGGCGAGCGUUGUUCGGAAUUAUUGGGCGUAAAGGGUGCGUAGGCGGUUUGGUAAGUCUCGUGUGAAAUCUACAGGCUCAACUUGUAGUCUGCACGAGAAACUGCCGGGCUUGAGUAUGGGAGGGUGAGUGGAAUUCCUGGUGUAGCGGUGAAAUGCGCAGAUAUCGGGAAGAACACCCGUGGCUAAGGCGGCUCUCUAGUACGGUACUGACGCUGAGACGCGAAAGCGUGGGGAGCGAACAGG
rnacentral:rRNA from 1 species